AUUGAACGCUGGCGGAAUGCUUUACACAUGCAAGUCGAACGGCAGCACGGACUUCGGUCUGGUGGCGAGUGGCGAACGGGUGAGUAAUGUAUCGGAACGUGCCCAGUCGUGGGGGAUAACGUAGUGAAAAUUACGCUAAUACCGCAUACGAUCUAUGGAUGAAAGCGGGGGAUCGCAAGACCUCGCGCGAUUGGAGCGGCCGAUAUCAGAUUAGGUAGUUGGUGGGGUAAAGGCCCACCAAGCCAACGAUCUGUAGCUGGUCUGAGAGGACGACCAGCCACACGGGAACUGAGACACGGUCCCGACUCCUACGGGAGGCAGCAGUGGGGAAUUUUGGACAAUGGGCGAAAGCCUGAUCCAGCCAUUCCGCGUGCAGGAUGAAGGCCCUCGGGUUGUAAACUGCUUUUGUACAGAACGAAAAGGUUUCUACUAAUACUAGGAGCUCAUGACGGUACUGUAAGAAUAAGCACCGGCCAACUACGUGCCAGCCGCCGCGGUAA
rnacentral:rRNA from 1 species